UACGUAGGGACCGAGCGUUGUCCGGAAUCAUUGGGCGUAAAGGGCGCGUAGGCGGCCUUGUAAGUCAAAGGUGAAAUCCCUCGGCUCAACUGAGGAACUGCCUUUGAAACUGCAAGGCUUGAGGCCGGGAGGGGGUAGCGGAAUUCCCAAUGUAGCGGUGAAAUGCGUAGAUAUCGGGAGGAACACCAGUGGCGAAGGCGGCUACCUGGACCGGUUCUGACGCUGAGGCGCGAAAGCGUGGGUAGCAAACAGG
rnacentral:rRNA from 1 species